AAAUUAAUAUAAAAUUCAAGUCGAAUCAAAUUAGGAUUUGAUCGAUCUAACCAAUUAAGGAAAGGAUAAAUUUAAAUCUAGAUUUAUAGAUAUCCUUAAUAGUUAUUAUAUUAUUAAAAAGAGGAUUAUAUUCCUCUAUAUUAUACGGGAGUUUUUAGAAAACCCUAGCCGUCAUCUCUCAUCUCCUCUCUCAUCCAUAUUCUAGCAAAAAGACGUCCUUUGCAAGGGAACUAGCAUCCCAGUGAGGAUAUCGAUCAAAUCAUCAACCUCGUGUGGAUACCUAUAGAGGCUGGACGCGUGUGCGGCUUCAAGAGAACCCAAUUCCACGAUCAUCAAGUUGAGGUGAAGAUUUAUCCGCGAAAAAGGUAAAGAUUCGAUCUUGUUUUUCUUCUUUAAUCUUAAAGAACAUGAGUAAUCCUAAUUGCGUGGUUUUUGAUAUUGGAUCUCGAGAGUUUUCAAAAAUCAAAUUUAUUUGAUUUCUUUUUCCGUUGCGUUUUACCGUAUGCAAUUUUCUAACAGUGGUAUCAGAGCCAUCCUCAUGUUCUUAAGAUUAAAAUUAUGAAUUUGGGUAUUCUAAACCGUUUUUCCGCCGGUAGAACAAUUUAUCGAUCAUUUUUGGCUAAUUCGAAAAGAUCAAAGUGAUCAACAAUUUAAUCGACGGUUUCUUGUUUAAAAAAAAAAAAAUACUGUAGCACCGUACGGACGCUACUGUAGAAUCUGUACGGAAAGCAAAAUUAUUUAUUUAUUUAUUUAAAUAAAAGAAAAGAAAAAUCUAAUUUGAUUAGAUGAAAAUAAUAUCUUGAUAUGAUCAAGUUGUUAUGUUUGUAGAUUAAGUUGUUGAUCAUAAUUAUAAAUGAUCAAUAAGAUUGAUUAUUUUUUUUUAAUAAUUUAGUUUUUCGAAUUGUCAAUUAACGGUAAAUUAGAAUGCCCAAAGUUGAUUAUUUUGCAUGUGGUGUAUGAGAUACAGAUCGGUAAUGAUCAUGGAUAGCGGACCAAUUUAAUUUUUGUUUCGACAUGUGAUGUAAGAUGUGUAUGCCGAAUCCUAUAAUUUUAAAUUUGUUUAAAUUAAGGAUUUUGUAUUAGAGAUGGCUAUAUUUGUGCCUGCACGCACAAGCCGAUUUAUUUGGAGACCUACGUGUCUCAAUAGAUUAGAGAUAAAAGUUAUCAAAUGUAAUUAAUUUUCAUUUCAUUUGCACUGUUGGGUUGUAUAAUAUAUGAUUCCACGUCAUUGGUUGAUCGGUUGCAAGCCUAAAAGUUCGCAAGGCUCGGAUAGAGACGAAUACUUGAUGCCGGUCGGAUCAAAGUGUUGAUAAGGAUCAAAUCAAGUUGAAGCUCUAGAUCGGAUCAAGUAGUUGAAGACAAUCAAACCAAUGACGUGUGUGUGCUUGUAAUUUAUGACCCUAAGACCCCGAUUCCGACUCAGUGGCUCGAGUCCGAAUCCACUACUAAGAUCAAUGAUCAUCACCAGUUUAAUUAUAUUUUUAUGCGCGGAUUGUUUUUAUUUGCAUUAGAUGUAAAUAAAUAAAAUAAUUUUUGAGACCUAAAUUUAAUCUCCUCAUAAAUAUUAAGUCGAGUGGUCUUCCGCCGUUGUAGAAGUGCGGGCGUUUUUCUGGUGUUGAUUGGCACGGCUGGUUACAGUGGUCAAUUGUAUCGGGAAUGCGCAACCACUCUAUUAGCAUGAGAUGCUGCGGAGUAAAGAUGGGGUUGGGCCCAAUAACUGUCAGGUGAGGGACCCAAUGACGGCUUUACUUACGCGUUUGAACGGUGGGUCUGACCUAACUAAGGAAUGGGGCCAAUAACUGUCAGGUGAGGCCUACAGGACUUAGAGACCAAUCACUGCAAUUUGCUUGAGAAGCAUUGGACAAGAGUUGUCCACUCAUCGGUUUGCAUAUCACCAAUAAUUGUUAGGUGAGGUGGUACGUUAAACUGGUGGGACCGCAGUACCCACUUGAAACCUUUUGUCGCGUUUUGUUUCUGUUUCUCUACCCGAGGAGUGUAAGAGACUCGAGAAAAUAGUGAGAGGCUAAAUUUAUUUUUUAAAAUUCUUAAAGCAAAUUUUCAAAACAAAUACAAAUAUCUAACUUGAAUCUUUACUCUCUGCAAAGCAAAUGUCUGCUUCCAUUUAUCUCUUUCGUAUUCUCGACACAAAACCCUUAACUGAAACUAAUUAUAAAAAUAGUUUUAAAUUCCAAUAAGCUAUGCAUUGUUCUCGACCAGGUAAACCUCACGUUGCAAAACCGUCCAAUAACUAACAGAAGGGCAGUCCGUUCAUGAUCAUUGUUUGACAAU
rnacentral:lncRNA from 1 species